rnacentral:rRNA from 1 species
AGUGAACGCUGGCGGUAGGCCUAACACAUGCAAGUCGAACGGCAGCACAGUAAGAGCUUGCUCUUACGGGUGGCGAGUGGCGGACGGGUGAGGAAUACAUCGGAAUCUACUUUUUCGUGGGGGAUAACGUAGGGAAACUUACGCUAAUACUGCAUACGACCUACGGGUGAAAGCAGGGGAUCUUCGGACCUUGCGCGAUUGAAUGAGCCGAUGUCGGAUUAGCUAGUUGGCGGGGUAAAGGCCCACCAAGGCGACGAUCCGUAGCUGGUCUGAGAGGAUGAUCAGCCACACUGGAACUGAGACACGGUCCAGACUCCUACGGGAGGCAGCAGUGGGGAAUAUUGGACAAUGGGCGCAAGCCUGAUCCAGCCAUACCGCGUGGGUGAAGAAGGCCUUCGGGUUGUAAAGCCCUUUUGUUGGGAAAGAAAAGCAGCAGGUUAAUAUCCCGCUGUUCUGACGGUACCUAAAGAAUAAGCACCGGCUAACUUCGUG